rnacentral:rRNA from 1 species
AUGGAUAUUGCCAUCUUUAAUUGGAACGUGAGAGGUUUGGGUUGUCCUGCCAAGCGAAGAGCGGUUGCAAAAUUGAUUGCUGAGAAGCGCUGCAACAUUGUUUGUUUGCAAGAAAUCAAAGUUCAGCUGAUUGACAGGGCCUUUGUUGCUGAAGCUGCUGGUAUCAAAUUCUGUGAUAAUUUCAUCUGCUUACCUGCUACAGGCUCGAGGGGUGGAAUUUUGAUUGCUUGUUCAGAUAAUUUUUCCAUCUCUAGAGAGCUGGCUGCCCAAGGUGUUCAUUCCAUCACUGGGACGAUAACUGAUAAAUCCAGCAAUCUGUCCUGGUCAAUUACCUCUGUUUAUGGUCCCCAGCUUGAUUCUGACAAGAUUAUGUUCCUCCAAGAAAUCCGGGAUCUUGUGCCAAUGGUCAAGAAGGAGUGGCUGAUUAUUGGAGAUUUUAAUUUGAUUGCAAGGGCUGCUGACAAGAGUAAUAACCUCAUUAAUCUCCCAAUGCUUGGCCGGUUCAGAAGCUUGAUUGACUCCUUACGGCUUCGGGAAAUGCCUCUGUCUGGAAGGCGCUUUACAUGGUCCAAUGAAAGAGAACAAACUACUCUCACCAGGAUAGACAAGCUGCUCUUCACUGUGGACUGGGAAACAAUGUUCCCACAAUACCACCUGUCUCCUGCUUCAAUGGCUAUCUCUGACCACUGCCCGCUUAUUAUGAAGAAGAUGGAGCUUAAAAGAUGCAAACCUUUCAGAUUUGAGUCCUUCUGGCUGGGGCUGCAGGGCCUGGAUGAGAUUGUUGCUGACGCCUGGAGAAAACCUUUGCAUUCCUCAGACCCAAUUAGAAACUUCCAUGCUAGGCUUUCCAGAACAGCCACGGCCCUCAAGAAAUGGAGCAGGGAUAUGAGAAAGAAGGCUAGCUUGGCCACUGACAUUGCAAAUGAGGUGAUAUUCCAACUAGACCUGGCAAUGGAGCAUAGAGAGCUCACUGUUGAGGAGUGGGCCCUUAGGAGGAACCUUAAGUCCAAACUUCUGGGAAUCGCUGCCUUAGAAUGGAUCAGAUGGAAACAGAGAUCCAGGCUAACCACCAUCAGAUCGGGUGAUGCUAGUACAAAAUUCUUCCACCUAACGGCUAAUGGCUGA